AACGAACGCUGGCGGCAUGCCUAACACAUGCAAGUCGAACGAGAUCUUCGGGUCUAGUGGCGCACGGGUGCGUAACGCGUGGGAAUCUGCCCUUUGGUUCGGAAUAACAGUUGGAAACGACUGCUAAUACCGGAUGAUGACGAAAGUCCAAAGAUUUAUCGCCAGAGGAUGAGCCCGCGUAGGAUUAGCUAGUUGGUGUGGUAAAGGCGCACCAAGGCGACGAUCCUUAGCUGGUCUGAGAGGGUGAUCAGCCACACUGGGAACUGAGACACGGCCCAGACUCCUACGGGAGGCAGCAGUGGGGAAUAUUGGACAAUGGGCGAAAGCCUGAUCCAGCAAUGCCGCGUGAGUGAUGAAGGCCUUAGGGUUGUAAAGCUCUUUUACCCGGGAUGAUAAUGACAGUACCGGGAGAAUAAGCUCCGGCUAACUCCGUGCCAGCCGCCGCAGUAA
rnacentral:rRNA from 1 species